CUGGUGCCCUGCUUUUCCAACGCGGCGCACUCCUGAUGCGGUGCUGUGUCCAGGAUGCUGAUGAACUUAAGCUCUGGAUGUUGAGAUGAAUUGGUCCGACUUCCAGAAGAGAAGGUAUGCAGCUGUGCAUAGAAUUAAGGCUUUAGUUUUCUUUGUCCUUUUAUAGCAGGAACAGAUGAAUUUUGAGGCAGUCCAAUUAGUUAUGAGACCAUGAGAAUUAUGCACCCAUAGAACUAAGUUCCACUUAGUUUUCUAUGUGUCCGCUCUAGCCUGAAACCUGCCACAAUAUCAAUACAAGAAGCCUUUUUGAAAAACUUAGUUUUAUCUAUGAAACUUUUAUACCUUUUGCCUGCAUGUCUGUACUAUGUGCAUGCAGUGCCCAUGGAGGCCAGAAGAGGGCAUCAAAUCCCCCUGGGGUUGGCGUUAGAGUUGUGAACUGCCACAUGGAUGCUAGGAAUUGAACCUAAUUCCAAGAAGAGCAGCCAGCCAGGGCUCUUAAUUGCUCUAAACUUUGGCAACUCAGAAUUGUCCAACACAUGGUUGAGAAAUCUCGUAUCCCCAGGAGAGUGAGGUGUAUGAUAGGAUCUACUGGGUGUCCUGGCUCAAUACUUGCUAUGUGUACUCUUAGUAGAUGUAGCUGGAAUGAGCAGACAACCUGUGUGAUUUAAACUACCAGGUAGAUACCUCAUUAUGUUCAAAUGCCCCAUAGAGAACUGAAGCAGAUUGAAGUUAAUGUUUUCACUCAUAAGCCCAGCCUGAGCUGUGCAGUGCUGUUGCAUGUAGGGAGCCGCGGCGGGUGCUGGCAAAGUCCACCAUCGCUAGGUGGCGCUA